UUGAACGCUGGCGGCAGGCCUAACACAUGCACGUCGAACGGUAACAGGAAGAAGCUUGCUUCUUUGCUGACGCGUGGCGGACGGGUGAGUAAUGUCUGGGAAACUGCCUGAUGGAGGGGGAUAACUACUGGAAACGGUAGCUAAUACCGCAUAACGUCGCAAGACCAAAGAGGGGGACCUUCGGGCCUCUUGCCAUCGGAUGUGCCCAGAUGGGAUUAGCUAGUAGGUGGGGUAACGGCUCACCUAGGCGACGAUCCCUAGCUGGUCUGAGAGGAUGACCAGCCACACUGGAACUGAGACACGGUCCAGACUCCUACGGGAGGCAGCAGUGGGGAAUAUUGCACAAUGGGCGCAAGCCUGAUGCAGCCAUGCCGCGUGUAUGAAGAAGGCCUUCGGGUUGUAAAGUACUUUCAGCGGGGAGGAAGGGAGUAAAGUUAAUACCUUUGCUCAUUGACGUUACCCGCAGAAGAAGCACCGGCUAACUCCGUG
rnacentral:rRNA from 1 species